UUUGUCUUAAAAGUGAAAUUGAGGUUGAAAUACAAAUAAUGGGAACCUGAGGUUCAGCAGUCUUAAUUGACCAUGAGCAAGAUCCAAAGAGCAGGAGCUUCAUAGACCGCUGGCGUUGGAUGGAUACAGAAAAGUAAUUCCAACUCAGGUCCCUACGCAGACUCAACUCCUGACCUUUUGAGUACUUUCCUCAGUCUCUCAGGCAGGUGCACACAGUAUCCAAGGAGGCCAGAAGAAGUUAUUGCAUCUACAGGGACUGGAGCCACAAGAAGACCCAGUGCUCAGCUGAAGUUUCUGGAAGCCAAGGAAACUGUGAAUUCCUUAAGAAGUCUCAAUGGUCUGCCCAGAUACAGGAAGAGCCCAGCUGGCUUAGCCUGAACCGUUGGUGGUUUGUGACACACAGCUUCCCCUUAGGCAUAACACCGGAAGUGUCUAAGGGCUCAGAGAAGAGCGAAUGGUCCAGUGAAAAGCAAGCCAGGGAAGACAGAAACAAAGUCCUGGACUUUGAGCCCACGCAGGCUCUGUUUGGAGAAUCAGGGUUUGAAUCUGUGUCUUGCCACAGGCUACCUAGUGGUCACAACAGCGGUUUCUUCUCUCAAAAGGGAACAUUCUGUCUCUAAAGGCAAAGUAAAAAUAAGAUGAACUACUACAAUGAAAACAGAACCAAUCGCUACUAGAUUUGAACUCAGCUUCUCUCCGUGGGCAGGUUACCGGUGAACAAGGCUCAGUUUGCUGUAUUCCCAGUAAAGAGCCAAGCCAAGAACCGUAACUACCUGAGCGCACUUGGUAUUCCGAAGUGAAAGUCUUCCUUAUUUCGAAAGAGGCCAGUUCUUACCCGCCCUGUCCACACCAUUCAGCUGCGCCUGUGAAUGGACAGGGGUGUGGGACGGCAAACAUGCGCCAGGACGGCAAACAUGCGCCAGUGGCCGAGACUGUCGCGGCUGUGGCGGGUCCUUGCAUCUUGGGGUCUUUUAGAUUUUCCUAGUUCCUCCUGGACCUUGCUUCCUGACUGAGGGAUGUGGGUGGGGGACCAGGAGAGUCCAGAGCCAAGAGGAAAUAAAACUCUGCAGCCUUCCCUUCA